rnacentral:rRNA from 1 species
AGUGAACGCUGGCGGCAGGCCUAACACAUGCAAGUCGAACGGCAGCACAGUAAGAGUUUGCUCUUACGGGUGGCGAGUGGCGGACGGGUGGGGAAUACAUCGGAACCUUCUUUUUCGUGGGGGAUAACGUAGGGAAACCUACGCUAAUACCGCAUACGACCUACGGGUGAAAGCAGGGGAUCUUCUCACCUUGCGCGAUUGAAUGAGCUGAUGUCGGAUUAGCUAGUUGGCGGGGUAAAGGCCCACCAAGGCGACGAUCCGUAGCUGGUCUGAGAGGAUGAUCAGCCACACUGGAACGGAGACACGGUCCAGACUCCUACGGGAGGCAGCAGUGGGGAAUAUUGGGCAAUGGGCGCAAGCCUGAUCCAGCGAUGCCGCGUGGGUGAAGAAGGCCUUCGGUUUGUAAAGCCCUUUUGUUGGGAAAGAAAAGCUGCAGAUUAAUACCCCGCUGUUCUGACGGUACCCAAAGAAUAAGCACCGGCUAACUUCGUG